CACGUAGGGGGCGAGCGUUGUCCGGAUUUAUUGGGCGUAAAGAGCUCGUAGGCGGUUUCGUAAGUCGGAUGUGAAAACUCCAGCUCAACUUGGAGACGCCAUUCGAUACUGCGAUGACUUGAGUCCGGUAGGGGAGUGUGGAAUUCCUGGUGUAGCGGUGAAAUGCGCAGAUAUCAGGAGGAACACCGGCGGCGAAGGCGGCACUCUGGGCCGGUACUGACGCUGAGGAGCGAAAGCGUGGGGAGCGAACAGG
rnacentral:rRNA from 1 species